GAUGAACGCUGGCGGCGUGCCUAAUACAUGCAAGUCGAACGCACAGCGAAAGGUGCUUGCACCUUUCAAGUGAGUGGCGAACGGGUGAGUAACACGUGGACAACCUGCCUCAAGGCUGGGGAUAACAUUUGGAAACAGAUGCUAAUACCGAAUAAAACUCAGUGUCGCAUGACAAAAAGUUAAAAGCCGCUUUGGCGUCACCUAGAGAUGGAUCCGCGGUGAAUUAGUUAGUUGGUGGGGUAAAGGACUAGCAAGACAAUGAUGCAUAGCCGAGUUGAGAGAAUGAUCGGCCGCAUUGGGACUGAGACACGGCCCAAACUCCUACGGGAGGCUGCAGUAGGGAAUCUUCCACAAUGGGCGAAAGCCUGAUGGAGCAACGCCGCGUGUGUGAUGAAGGCUUUCGGGUCGUAAAGCACUGUUGUAUGGGAAGAACAGCUGGAAUAGGGAAUGAUUUUAGUUUGACGGUACCAUACCAGAAAGGGACGGCUAAAUACGUGCCAGCCGCCGCAGUAA
rnacentral:rRNA from 1 species